AGUAAGAGAAGAGGUUGAAAACGGGGUGCAGAGGGAGAAAAAAGAAUGGAUGCAUUCAAAAUGCAGGGCAGCUUUAUGAUACAGAUUCUCUCUCUCUUUCUCUCUCCCCCCCCCCCCCGUUUUCCCUCUUUCCUCUCCUC